CCAUUCCUGGAGGAGGAGAAGAAGAGGAGGAGGUGGUGGUGGUGGGAACUUCAGGAGAUGAGGAGGUGGCGCCCGGGGAACCUGCGGGGAGGAGAAGGCCAAAAAUGAAGGGUGGAGAAGGGAGAAGUCGAGGAGGGGUCCAAAAAUUCAGGGGUGGAGGGCCAAAAAGGAAGGGUGGAGACACAAAAAUGGAGGUUGGAGAUCUAAAAAUGAAGGUUGGAGACCAAAAAAUGAAGGUUGGAGGUCCAAAAAUGAGAGUUGGAGACCAAAAAAUGAAGGUUGGGGAUCAAAAAAUGAAGGGUGGAGACCAAAAAAUGAAGGUUGGAGGUCCAAAAAUGAGGGUUGGAGACCAAAAAAUGAAGGUUGGGGAUCAAAAAAUGAAGGGUGGAGACCAAAAAAUGAAGGUUGGAGACCAAAAAUGAAGGUUGGACAUCUAAAAAUGAAGGUUGGAGACCAAAAAAUGAAGGUUGGAAGUCCAAAAAUGAAGGUUGGAGACCAAAAAAUGAAGGGUGGGGACCAAAAAUGAAGGGUGGAGACCAAAAAAUGAAGGUUGGAGGUCCAAAAAUGAAGGUUGGAGACCAAAAAAUGAAGGGUGGAGACCAAAAAAUGAAGGUUGGAGGUCCAAAAAUGGAGGGUGGGGACCAAAAAUGAAGGGUGGAGCCCAAAAAAUGAAGGUUGGAGACCAAAAAUGAAGGGUGGAGACCAAAAAAUGAAGGGUGGAGACCAAAAAAUGAAGGGUGGAGACCAAAAAAUGAAGGUUGGAGGUCCAAAAAUGGAGGGUGGGGACCAAAAAAUGAAGGGUGGAGAUCAAAAAAGAAGGGUGGAGGUCCAAAAAUGGAGGGUGGGGACCAAAAAAUGAAGGGUGGAGGUCCAAAAAUGAAGGGUGGAGACACAAAAAUGAAGGUUGGAGCCCAAAAUUGAGGGUUUGAGACCCCCAAAUGAGAGUUGGAGACCCCAAUAUGAGACUUGAGGACCCAAAAAUGAGGUUUGGAGACCCAAAAAUGAAGGUUGGAGGUCCAAAAAUGAAGGUUGGAGACACCAAAAUGAAGGUUGGAGGCCCAAAAAUUAGGGUUUGGGACCCAAAAAGGAGAGUUGAGGACCCAAAAAUGAGGAUUGGAGACCCAAAAAUGAGAGUUGGAGAUCCAAAAAUGAAGGUUGGAAGUCCAAAAUGAGGUUUGGAGACCCCAAAAUCAAAGUUGGGGACCCAAAAAUCAAGGUUGGAGCCCAAAAAUGAAGGUUGGAGACACCAAAAUGAAGGUUGGAGACCCCAAAAUGAGGUUUGGAGACCCAAAAAUGAG